rnacentral:misc_RNA from 1 species
GAUGAAGAACGCAGCGAAAUGCGAUAAGUAGUGUGAAUUGCAGAAUUCAGUGAAUCAUCGAAUCUUUGAACGCACAUUGCGCCUCCUGGCAUUCCGGGAGGCAUGCCUGUUCGAGCGUCAUCAAACCCCAUCGUGCAAAUGAAUUAUUUUUUUUGCGCGGAAGUGACGAUUGAGCGAGAAUAACAAAUCCUCUCGCACCUCGUCGAAAUGAUUGCGGGCGGAAUUUGGGAUCGGGUUCCUCGGCGUAGUGUAUCAAUGCAUAUUUAUGCAACUUGCCGCGGAGUUGAGCCUGACCCAUGCGUUCUCGCCGUACAAACACCUCAUUACUUUACAAGUUUUUGACCUCGGAUCAGGUAGGGAUACCCGCUGAACUUAAGCAUAUCAAUAAGCGGAGGA